rnacentral:RNase_P_RNA from 2 species
ACAGCUCAUCAGUGGUGCCACAUGCUAAGUGCUCCUCACUCCCCAGCUCCUAGAAAGGUCUGAGACUGGGGCCUCCCAUGGCCCUAACCAGGCCCUCCCCAGCAGAGAGGUGAGUUCCCAGAGAGCAGGACUCCACAUGUGGGCAGACUUUCAAGCUCAUGGGAGUUUGAAACAGACUCACUGCACAGGCAGGCAGUAUUAGCACACAAGAGAAGCUCUGU